GAUGAACGCUAGCGGCAGGCCUAAUACAUGCAAGUCGAGGGGCAGCGCGGUAGCAAUACUGGCGGCGACCGGCGCACGGGUGCGUAACACGUAUGCAACCUACCUUCAACUGGAGGAUAGCCCGGGGAAACUCGGAUUAAUACUCCAUAAUACAGGGAUCCCGCAUGGGAAUAUUGUUAAAGCUACGGCGGUUGAAGAUGGGCAUGCGUUCGAUUAGCUAGUUGGUGUAGGUAACGGCUCACCAAGGCUACGAUCGAUAGGGGGUCUGAGAGGAUGAUCCCCCACACUGGUACUGAGAUACGGACCAGACUCCUACGGGAGGCAGCAGCAGGGAAUAUUGGUCAAUGGGCGCAAGCCUGAACCAGCCAUGCCGCGUGCAGGAAGAAGGCCCUCUGGGUUGUAAACUGCUUUUGAUAGGGAACAAAUGCCACUUGCGAGUGGAGCUGAGUGUACCUGUAGAAUAAGCACCGGCUAACUCCGUGCCAGCCGCCGCGGUAA
rnacentral:rRNA from 1 species